UCAGUCGACUCCUACGGGGAGGCAGCAGUGGGGGAAUAUUGCACAAUGGGCGCAAGCCUGAUGCAGCCAUGCCGCGUGUGUGAAGAAGGACCUUCGGGUUGUAAAGCACUUUCAGUCGUGAGGAAGGUAGUGUAGUUAAUAGCUGCAUUAUUUGACGUUAGCGACAGAAGAAGCACCGGCUAACUCCGUGCCAGCAGCCGCGGUAAUACGGAGGGUGCGAGCGUUAAUCGGAAUUACUGGGCGUAAAGCGCAUGCAGGUGGUUUGUUAAGUCAGAUGUGAAAGCCCGGGGCUCAACCUCGGAAUUGCAUUUGAAACUGGCAGACUAGAGUACUGUAGAGGGGGGUAGGAAUUUCAGGUGUAGCGGUGAAAUGCGUAGAGAUCUGAAGGAAUACCGGUGGCGAAGGCGGCCCCCUCGGACAGAUACUGACACUCAGAUGCGAAAGCGUGGGGAGCAAACAGGAUUAGAUACCCUGGUAG
rnacentral:rRNA from 1 species